UGAGUUUACGCUCUACAACCCUUUGUGAACAUACCUAUAACUGUUGCUUCGGCGGGUAGGGUCUCCGUGACCCUCCCGGCCUCCCGCCCCCGGGCGGGUCGGCGCCCGCCGGAGGAUAACCAAACUCUGAUUUAACGACGUUUCUUCUGAGUGGUACAAGCAAAUAAUCAAAACUUUUAACAACGGAUCUCUUGGUUCUGGCAUCGAUGAAGAACGCAGCGAAAUGCGAUAAGUAAUGUGAAUUGCAGAAUUCAGUGAAUCAUCGAAUCUUUGAACGCACAUUGCGCCCGCCAGCAUUCUGGCGGGCAUGCCUGUUCGAGCGUCAUUUCAACCCUCAAGCUCUGCUUGGUGUUGGGGCCCUACAGCUGAUGUAGGCCCUCAAAGGUAGUGGCGGACCCUCCCGGAGCCUCCUUUGCGUAGUAACUUUACGUCUCGCACUGGGAUCCGGAGGGACUCUUGCCGUAAAACCCCCCAAUUUUCCAAAGGUUGACCUCGGAUCAGGUAGGAAUACCCGCUGAACUUAAGCAUAUCAAUAAGCGGAGGAAAAGAAACCAACAGGGAUUGCCUCAGUAACGGCGAGUGAAGCGGCAACAGCUCAAAUUUGAAAUCUGGCCCUAGGCCCGAGUUGUAAUUUGCAGAGGAUGCUUUUGGUGCGGUGCCUUCCAAGUUCCCUAGAACGGGACGCCAGAGAGGGUGAGAGCCCCGUACAGUUGGACACCAAGCCUUUGUAAAGCUCCUUCGACGAGUCGAGUAGUUUGGGAAUGCUGCUCAAAAUGGGAGGUAUAUUUCUUCUAAAGCUAAAUACCGGCCAGAGACCGAUAGCGCACAAGUAGAGUGAUCGAAAGAUGAAAAGCACUUUGAAAAGAGGGUUAAACAGCACGUGAAAUUGUUAAAAGGGAAGCGCUUGUGACCAGACUUGCGUCCGGUGAAUCACCCAGCUCUCGCGGCUGGGGCACUUCGCCGGCUCAGGCCAGCAUCAGCUCGCUGUCGGGGACAAAAGCUUCAGGAACGUAGCUCUCUUCGGGGAGUGUUAUAGCCUGUUGCAUAAUACCCUUCGGCGGGCUGA
rnacentral:rRNA from 1 species